GACGUAGGGGGCCAGCGUUGUUCGGAAUUACUGGGUGUAAAGGGUUCGUAGGCGGUGUGGCAAGUCGGGGAGUGAAAUCUCUGGGCUCAACUCAGAGACUGCUUCCGAAACUGCUGUGCUGGAGUGUGGGAGAGGCGCGUGGAAUUGCAGGUGUAGCGGUGAAAUGCGUAGAUAUCUGCAGGAACACCCGUGGCGAAAGCGGCGCGCUGGACCACUACUGACGCUGAGGAACGAAAGCUAGGGGAGCAAACAGG
rnacentral:rRNA from 1 species